GGAGGAGGGGACAGUGUGGUGGAAAAAGUUGUGACUUUUUUUCUCUCUCUUAUCCCUUCCCCUUCCUUUUCCUUUCCCUUCCUUUUCCCUACCCUUUUUUCCUACUUCUCCCUUCCCUUUCCCUUCCCCUUCUCCUUCUUUUUCCUUCUUCAUUUUUUCUCCAUUCCCUUCUGAUCUCUCCCUCUCCUUCGCUCUCCCCACCCCCUCCCCCGCUUCCUCUCCUCGCCUUCUCCCUUCUCCUUUCCCCCCCACUUUCCUCUCUUCCUUACCUUUCUCUCUUUUCUUCUUCCCUUUUCCAAAUUCCAACACCAUGGCCAGCGCUUAUCACUGGGAAGCCCGAAGAAGACAGAUGGCUUUGGACCGGAGGAGACACUACCAGCUUCAACAGGAAAUGAAAAACAAAAAGAUAGAGAAUGACCUGGAGGAACAAAGAUAUUGCAUGGGGCUUGAACCCUAUCAGCGGUAUUGCUCUCCAAGCCCUGACCAUGAAUACCUGUAUGACAACGAAAGCCCUGAGACCUCCCACCAGAAUGCUGGGGCGUAUAUCGCUGGACAGUCUCCAGAAGACUUAAGAGGUGGCUACAUGAUUCCUGAACGCCGCACCAUGGGACACUGCAUGUGCCAAUGCCAGUGCCACUUCCAAGGUCAGGGCCAGCAUCGGAGCAGGCACCAAGUCCAGGAGGAAGAACAGGAUGAGGACCAGGAUGAAGUCCAGAAUGUGGGCCAAAGCAAGAACCGUGACCGGAAACGGGACCUAUGCCAGAGCAAGAGCCAGGACCGGGCCCGGACCCUAGGAAAGGGCCACCGCCAGAGCAAGAGCCAGGUCCGGGACCGGGACCGGGACCGGGAGCGGGAGCGGAAACAGGGCAAGAUCCAAUGCCAGUGCAAAGAGCAUGGACACCAUACUGGUCACCACCAUCACAAAAUUCAUCCCAUGGGUCACCAACAAGCUCCUCAUCAUCCCCAAGAGUUCAAACACAGUGUCCCAGAAACUCUUCGCCAUCCCAAACGUGGAAAGAGAUACACGAUUGCCUCUACUUACCCAAAGCCACACUGACAGUGGGUUGUGGAGCUGGAUUUGAUGGCAUCUUCCAAUUCUAACUACCUAAUUAUACCCUGCCCCUAGGAUUGGUCCCUGAGCCAGGCCAUGGACUACAUCCAGCAGUGGUAGUGGAAAGAGGACCCAGCCUCAAACUGUUGUUCAUCAGGAGAUGAGAACUGAUGUAAUCAACGAAGUUGGCAUCUAAUACUUUCCCUUAACAAAUCUUUUCCCCAACACUGAGGAUAAUGGCAUGCAUCAAUAAAGAAAUUGUUCUUGGAAUGAC